GCCCGGGUGGUGAAACAGGUAGACACAAGGGACUUAAAAUCCCUCGGCAGCGAAAGCGGCCAUGCCGGUUCGAGUCCGGCCCCGGGCACCA
rnacentral:tRNA from 1 species